rnacentral:sRNA from 1 species
AAUUCGAAUAUGCUUACCGUAGACAGUAGGUGCUUUAACAAGCUUAAUUUCCUACCGAGGUGUGAUGAUAGAACGUAUCAUUUGAGUGUUUUGCUCAAUAUGACUUUAUCAAGCCUUCGUGAUUCUACGGAGGCUUUUCUUAUGGA